CUGACGAGUGGCGGACGGGUGAGUAAUGCUUGGGAAUCUGGCUUAUGGAGGGGGAUAACGACGGGAAACUGUCGCUAAUACCGCGUAUUAUCGGAAGAUGAAAGUGCGGGACUGAGAGGCCGCAUGCCAUAGGAUGAGCCCAAGUGGGAUUAGGUAGUUGGUGGGGUAAAGGCCUACCAAGCCUGCGAUCUCUAGCUGGUCUGAGAGGAUGACCAGCCACACUGGAACUGAGACACGGUCCAGACUCCUACGGGAGGCAGCAGUGGGGAAUAUUGCGCAAUGGGGGGAACCCUGACGCAGCCAUGCCGCGUGAAUGAAGAAGGCCUUCGGGUUGUAAAGUUCUUUCGGUAUUGAGGAAGGUUGAUGUGAUAAUAGAACAUCAAAUUGACGUUAAAUACAGAAGAAGCACCGGCUAACUCCGUGCCAGCAGCCGCGGUAAUACGGAGGGUGCGAGCGUUAAUCGGAAUAACUGGGCGUAAAGGGCACGCAGGCGGUUAUUUAAGUGAGGUGUGAAAGCCCUGGGCUUAACCUAGGAAUUGCAUUUCAGACUGGGUAACUAGAGUACUUUAGGGAGGGGUAGAAUUCCACGUGUAGCGGU
rnacentral:rRNA from 1 species